rnacentral:rRNA from 1 species
AUUGAACGCUGGCGGCAGGCCUAACACAUGCAAGUCGAGCGGAUGAAGGGAGCUUGCUCCUGGAUUCAGCGGCGGACGGGUGAGUAAUGCCUAGGAAUCUGCCUGGUAGUGGGGGAUAACGUCCGGAAACGGGCGCUAAUACCGCAUACGUCCUGAGGGAGAAAGUGGGUGAUCUUCGGACCUCACGCUAUCAGAUGAGCCUAGGUCGGAUUAGCUAGUUGGUGGGGUAAAGGCCUACCAAGGCGACGAUCCGUAACUGGUCUGAGAGGAUGAUCAGUCAGACUGGAACUGAGACACGGUCCAGAAUCCUACGGGAGGCAGCAGUGGGGAAUAUUGGACAAUGGGCGAAAGCCUGAUCCAGCCAUGCCGCGUGUGUGAAGAAGGUCGUCGGAUUGUAAAGCACUUUAAGUUGGGAGGAAGGGCAGUAAGUUAAUACCUUGCUGUUUUGACGUUACCAACAGAAUAAGCACCGGCUAACUUCGUG